rnacentral:rRNA from 2 species
UGCAGUCGAACGAACUCUGGUAUUGAUUGGUGCUUGCAUCAUGAUUUACAUUUGAGUGAGUGGCGAACUGGUGAGUAACACGUGGGAAACCUGCCCAGAAGCGGGGGAUAACACCUGGAAACAGAUGCUAAUACCGCAUAACAACUUGGACCGCAUGGUCCGAGUUUGAAAGAUGGCUUCGGCUAUCACUUUUGGAUGGUCCCGCGGCGUAUUAGCUAGAUGGUGGGGUAACGGCUCACCAUGGCAAUGAUACGUAGCCGACCUGAGAGGGUAAUCGGCCACAUUGGGACUGAGACACGGCCCAAACUCCUACGGGAGGCAGCAGUAGGGAAUCUUCCACAAUGGACGAAAGUCUGAUGGAGCAACGCCGCGUGAGUGAAGAAGGGUUUCGGCUCGUAAAACUCUGUUGUUAAAGAAGAACAUAUCUGAGAGUAACUGUUCAGGUAUUGACGGUAUUUAACCAGAAAGCCACGGCUAACUACGUGCCAGCAGCCGCGGUAAUACGUAGGUGGCAAGCGUUGUCCGGAUUUAUUGGGCGUAAAGCGAGCGCAGGCGGUUUUUUAAGUCUGAUGUGAAAGCCUUCGGCUCAACCGAAGAAGUGCAUCGGAAACUGGGAAACUUGAGUGCAGAAGAGGACAGUGGAACUCCAUGUGUAGCGGUGAAAUGCGUAGAUAUAUGGAAGAACACCAGU